UCCUGAUUACAACCUAACAACACUGUAUGUCAAAGACUGUGCAGAGUGUACUUGUACUCUCAUAUUUGGAAAAUCCAAUGAAUAAUUUAAAGAUGUUAUGAUAGGACACAUACAAAUUGAGGAACUGUG